rnacentral:rRNA from 1 species
UGCCAGCCGCCGCGGUAAUACAUAGGGGGCAAGCGUUAUCCGGAAUUAUUGGGCGUAAAGGGUGCGUAGGCGGUCAUUUAAGUCUUUGGUGUAAGUGCAAGGCUCAACCUUGUGAUGCUAAGGAAACUGGAUGACUUGAGUGUGAUAGAGGUAAGUGGAAUUCCAUGUGUAGAUAUCUGGAGGAACACCGGUGGCGAAAGCGGCUCACUGGCCCGAAUCAGACGCUGAGGUGCGAAAGCUAGGGUAGCGAACGGGAUUAGAUA